GAUGAACGCUGGCGGCGUGCCUAAUACAUGCAAGUCGAGCGAACAGACGAGGAGCUUGCUUCUCUGACGUUAGCGGCGGACGGGUGAGUAACACGUGGAUAACCUACCUAUAAGACUGGGAUAACUUCGGGAAACCGGAGCUAAUACCGGAUAAUAUUUUGAACCGCAUGGUUCAAUAGUGAAAGACGGUGUUGCUGUCACUUAUAGAUGCAUCCGCGCUGCAUUAGCUAGUUGGUAAGGUAACGGCUUACCAAGGCAACGAUGCGUAGCCGACCUGAGAGGGUGAUCGGCCACACUGGAACUGAGACACGGUCCAGACUCCUACGGGAGGCAGCAGUAGGGAAUCUUACGCAAUGGGCGAAAGCCUGACGGAGCAACGCCGCGUGAGUGAUGAAGGUCUUCGGAUCGUAAAACUCUGUUAUUAGGGAAGAACAGAUGUGUAAGUAACUGUGCACAUCUUGACGGUACCUAAUCAGAAAGCCACGGCUAACUACGUG
rnacentral:rRNA from 1 species